GACGUAGGGGGCGAGCGUUGUCCGGAUUAUUGGGCGUAAAGCGCGCGCAGGCGGUUCGGAAAGUCGGAUGUGAAAAUCCGGGGCUCAACCCCGGACGUGCAUCCGAUACUUCCGGACUGGAGGCAGGUAGGGGAGAGCGGAAUUCCCGGUGUAGCGGUGAAAUGCGCAGAUAUCGGGAAGAACACCGGUGGCGAAGGCGGAUCUCUGGGCCUUACCUGACGCUCAGGCGCGAAAGCUAGGGGAGCGAACUGG
rnacentral:rRNA from 1 species